rnacentral:lncRNA from 1 species
ACAUAACAGGAUGGGUGGGGAAAUAGGAACCCAUUGAUUUUCCUUAGAAUUUUGUUAAUAGAAGUGCCCUAAGGAAGGAAAGACUCACAGGAAACUUUAAAAGCCUUUCUCCCUGGGGCUCUACAUCUCAGAGACCCAUGCCUGAGGACAGAGAAAGGUGAGGGGGAAGAGCCCAGGGCUCCAGCAGACUGGACGAUGAGGACAGAUGAGCUCUGAUCAUGCUCGAACAUGCUGUGAGUGUGCCACACUAGGAUUUUUCCUUCACCAAAAUUUAAUUAAUUAAUUAAUUAAAAGAACACAGAGAAUGCUGUUCUCCAUAAGUUGUUCACGAUUGAAAAGGAGUACUGGAGAAGAUGAAAUGCUUAGAAUUCUGGAUUCAGCAGCUCCUCAGAGGUAUCCUUAGUCAACAAAACCUUUAUGUCCCGCAAAUUAUGCCAGUGAGGACUAGACUCUGUUAGUCAAGAAAGUGCUGUCUCUCCCAGGGUUGUGUCAGUGACAGCAGCAUCACAGCAGUGACAGCCCCUGAUAAAGGGGCCACUAGGAGUUGGUGCGCUUGUACACUUAAGAGCACUGUUUCUCAGACAAUGGUUCCUCAAUCAUCUGCUUCAGAAUCACCUAUUAAAAAGGCAGAUAAGGGGUCCCAACCAACUCAGAAUUUCUGGCGGUGGCACUUAAAUACAGGCACUCCACUGCAUGCGAUAGUCUGAGGACCGCUGACCGCUUACUUAUGACAGGUAGCUUUUCAUACCGCCUAAGACCAAUCGUGUGUAUGCUCACUCUUAUUCCCACAGCCAUGGGAAGUGCCUGACCAGGAGUAGACCUAUAACCUGUGGGUGAAAAUCUAGAUGGAUCCUACACAUGAGACACGAUUGUUUUUCAGGAAGGAAGAAAUCAGGGAACUCUUUCAUGUUGAUACUUACCUUUUCUCCACUGUGGUCAUUUGGUACCUAGAAAGGGUCACUUGCACAAGAAGUAUUUCCUGGUAUGGAGGAGCCUGUGUAUGGAAAACCAUGAAAGAGGAGCCUCACAGCGAAGGUCCGAAGUCCGUCUGUCUUUUUUUUUUUUUUUCCAGGACUUUCAGGAGGAGAAAAUCCCUUCCCUUUCCAACUGCUGUUCUAACAACUGCUUCCCUGUAAUCUCAGAGCCCAGUGACCCUCCAAGGGUCAGAAGCAGGGUCUGGGUGGCAGUGGAGGCUUGGCCGGGGGGGGGGGGGGGGGGGGGAGGCUUCCCUCCAAAAGCCCUGAUUUGAGAAGAGGAAGAACACAGGACAGGGGCCCUUGCAAAUGCAGCUUCAAGAAUUCACCCAGAGCCUCUUGGAAAGAGAUAAGAAUAGUGCUCAUUCCCUUUCCUCUCCCCACCGUCACCCCAUUUCCUGUCCCUGCUCCAGGAAUAUGCAAUAUCCCACAGGAGCUUGUCACACAGGAUCCCAGCACAGAGCAACAGAUGCUCCUGUAUUUGCAUAAGCACACACAUGAUGAAAAGCUUGCUGUUCCAGACUGUUUGCAAAAGAAAACUGUCGCUUUAAGAAAGGGGUCAGCAUGAUGCUCUGGUACAUCCCAUCAGCAAAAAAUUACCGCUUCCACCUGUGCGACAUCUUGGCUUACUUUACAACAGCAGGUCUCAAAAAAUAUUCCAGAACUCUGGAGGAUCCUAAGAUCCUUUCUGAGGUUCUGAUAGCUCAAAAUUAUAAUGAUAUGAUAUUAUUUACCUUUUCUAUUCGCAUUUUCUUAUAAGUAUUAUGGAGCUUCUAGAGCAUAUGUAAAAUUGACGUCAGUAAGUUCUAUGUAUGUAGUUCAUAGUAAGUGAAUAGUAAAUGCACAUGUGAGAAUCCAAGACUCUUUUAUUAAGCCAAGCAAUAAAAGGAUUUGCAAAAAUGUAAAAGAAUGCCAUUUGUCUUGCUGUAUUUUUUGUUUUAGAACAGUUAUAUUUCAUAAAAAUAUGUUAUUUAUAUUAACAUGUAAUGGGUUUGUUAUUGCUACUUCAAUGAAUUAAUAAGUGCAUUUAAAAAUUUCUCAGUUUGUGAAAAAAAAUAAAAAAAUAAUAAAAUAAAAAUUUCUCAGUUUGGGGGUGCCUGGGUGGCUCAGUAGUUGAGCAUCUGCCUUUGGCUCAG